UACGGAGGAUCCGAGCGUUAUCCGGAUUUAUUGGGUUUAAAGGGUGCGCAGGCGGGAGAUUAAGUCGGCGGUGAAAUUUUGCAGCUCAACUGUAAAAGUGCCUUCGAAACUGGUUUCCUUGAGUGUAGAUGAAGUAGGCGGAAUUUGUAGUGUAGCGGUGAAAUGCGUAGAUAUCACGAGGAACUCCGAUUGCGCAGGCGGCUUACUAAACCACUACUGACGCUCAUGCACGAAGGCGUGGGGAGUCAAACAGGAUUAGAUACCCGCGUAGUCCCU
rnacentral:rRNA from 1 species